UACGAAGGGGGCUAGCGUUGCUCGGAAUCACUGGGCGUAAAGCGCACGUAGGCGGACAUUUAAGUCAGGGGUGAAAUCCCAGAGCUCAACUCUGGAACUGCCUUUGAUACUGGGUGUCUUGAGUAUGGAAGAGGUGAGUGGAAUUCCGAGUGUAGAGGUGAAAUUCGUAGAUAUUCGGAGGAACACCAGUGGCGAAGGCGGCUCACUGGUCCAUUACUGACGCUGAGGUGCGAAAGCGUGGGGAGCAAACAGG
rnacentral:rRNA from 1 species